AGUUUGAUCCUGGCUCAGGAUGAACGCUAGCUACAGGCUUAACACAUGCAAGUCGAGGGGAAACGACAUCGAAAGCUUGCUUUUGAUGGGCGUCGACCGGCGCACGGGUGAGUAACGCGUAUCCAACCUGCCCAUCACUUGGGGAUAACCUUGCGAAAGUAAGACUAAUACCCAAUGAUAUCUCUAGAAGACAUCUGAAAGAGAUUAAAGAUUUAUCGGUGAUGGAUGGGGAUGCGUCUGAUUAGCUUGUUGGCGGGGUAACGGCCCACCAAGGCGACGAUCAGUAGGGGUUCUGAGAGGAAGGUCCCCCACAUUGGAACUGAGACACGGUCCAAACUCCUACGGGAGGCAGCAGUGAGGAAUAUUGGUCAAUGGACGAGAGUCUGAACCAGCCAAGUAGCGUGCAGGAUGACGGCCCUAUGGGUUGUAAACUGCUUUUAUAAGGGAAUAAAGUGAGUCUCGUGAGACUUUUUGCAUGUACCUUAUGAAUAAGGACCGGCUAAUUCCGUGCCAGCAGCCGCGGUAAUACGGAAGGUCCGGGCGUUAUCCGGAUUUAUUGGGUUUAAAGGGAGCGUAGGCCGGAGAUUAAGCGUGUUGUGAAAUGUAGACGCUCAACGUCUGCACUGCAGCGCGAACUGGUUUCCUUGAGUACGCACAAAGUGGGCGGAAUUCGUGGUGUAGCGGUGAAAUGCUUAGAUAUCACGAAGAACUCCGAUUGCGAAGGCAGCUCACUGGAGCGCAACUGACGCUGAAGCUCGAAAGUGCGGGUAUCGAACAGGAUUAGAUACCCUGGUAGUCCGCACGGUAAACGAUGGAUGCCCGCUGUUGGUCUGAAUAGGUCAGCGGCCAAGCGAAAGCAUUAAGCAUCCCACCUGGGGAGUACGCCGGCAACGGUGAAACUCAAAGGAAUUGACGGAAGGGCGU
rnacentral:rRNA from 1 species